rnacentral:misc_RNA from 1 species
GCCGGUGUUAGCUUUCUGCCGGUAGUGCGUACCGCCGCCCCUGCAUACUCCCCUGUUGUCCUAAACGUGUGGCUACCUCUCCGUAUGCGGUAAUCGGAGGGAGCUUCGCGGUUGUGCGAUGGAGCCGGAGGCGGCCGCCCACUCCAACGGCGUCAACGGAUAUUCAGCGACGCCAGAGGGCGACGAGCCGUCCUUAAAGCGACCGCCCACGCCCUUACAACACCAGUCGGACGCCAGCGCCAGCUUCCUGCGGGCGGCCCGAGGCGGCAACCUCGACAAGGUGCUGGACUACAUCAAGACCGGCACCGACAUCAACACCUGCAACCAGAAUGGGCUAAACGCGCUUCACCUGGCCAGCAAGGAGGGCCAUGGCCACAUUGUCAGUGAACUGCUCAACAGAGGGGCAAAUGUUGACGCAGUCACUAAGAAGGGCAACUCGGCACUGCACGUGGCCUCCCUAGCCGGUCAAGAGGAGAUUGUUCGCCUGCUGGUGCAGGCCGGUGCCAACGUGAACGCGCAGAGCCAGAAUGGCUUCACGCCGCUGUACAUGGCGGCCCAGGAGAACCACGACGCCGUCGUGCGGUACCUGCUGGCCAACGGCGCCAAUCAGAGCAUCGCCACAGAGGACGGCUUCACGCCGCUGGCGGUGGCGCUACAGCAGGGUCAUGACAAGGUGGUGGCCGUGCUGCUGGAGAACGACACGCGCGGCAAGGUGCGCCUGCCCGCCCUCCACAUCGCCGCCAAGAAGGACGACUGCAAGUCGGCCGUCCUCCUGCUACAGAACGACCACAAGUCUGACGUGACGAGCAAGUCCGGCUUCACGCCGCUGCACAUCGCCGCUCACUACGGCAACCAGAACAUCGCCGCCCUGCUGCUGGACAAGGGCGCCGACAUCAACUACAUGGCCAAGCACCACAUCACGCCGCUGCACGUGGCAGCCAAGUGGGGCAAGGCCAACAUGGUGACGCUGCUCUGCGAGCGGGGCGCCAACCAGGAAGCGAAGACGCGGGACGGCCUGACGCCGCUGCACUGCGCUGCCCGCUCCGGCCACGAGAACGUGGUCGACCUGCUGCUCGAGAAGGGCGCCUUCAUCUCGGCCAAGACCAAGAACGGCCUGACGCCGCUGCACAUGUCGGCCCAGGGCGACCACGUGGACGCUGCGCGCAUCCUCUUCUACCACAAAGCGCCCGUCGAUGACGUCACGGUCGACUACCUGACGGCGCUGCACGUGGCCGCACACUGUGGCCACGUCAAGGUGGCCAAGCUGCUGCUGGACCGACACGCCGACCCCAACUCGCGGGCGCUGAACGGCUUCACGCCGCUGCACAUCGCCUGCAAGAAGAACCGCAUCGAGGUGGUGGAGCUGCUGCUCAAGUACGGCGCCAACAUCGAGGCCACCACCGAGUCGGGCCUGACGCCACUUCACGUGGCCUCCUUCAUGGGCUGCAUGAACAUCGUCAUCUACCUGCUGCAGCACGACGCCAAACCUAACCACGCCACAGUGCGCGGCGAGACGCCGCUGCACCUGGCGGCGCGCGCCAACCAGGCCGACAUCAUCCGCAUCCUGCUGAGGAACAGGGCCGAGGUGGACGCCCGAGCUCGGGAGCAGCAGACACCUCUUCACAUUGCUGCCCGGCUGGGCAACGCCGACAUAGUGAUGAUGCUGCUGCAGCACGGCGCCGCCGUCGACUCGACCACCAAGGACCUGUACACGGCGCUGCACAUCGCCGCCAAGGAGGGCCAGGACGAGGUGGCGCAGGUGCUGAUGGAGCACGGCGCCUCGCUGUCGGCGGUGACCAAGAAGGGCUUCACGCCGCUCCACCUGGCGGCCAAGUACGGCAACAUCCGCGUGGCCAAGACGCUGCUGGCCAAGGACGCUCCGGUCGACGCCCAGGGCAAGAACGGCGUGACGCCGCUGCAUGUGGCGGCCCACUUCGACCACCAGCAGGUGGCGCUGCUGCUGCUGGAGAAGGGCGCCUCCGUCAGGGCCACGGCCAAGAACGGCUACACACCCCUGCAUAUCGCCGCCAAGAAGAACCAGAUGGACAUUGCCACCACGCUGCUGGAGUACGGCGCCGAGACCAACUGCGAGUCGAAGGCGGGCUUCACGCCGCUGCACCUGGCCGCCCAGGAGGGCCACGCCGACAUGGCCACGCUGCUGAUCGAGCACAAGGCCGACGCCAACCACCGCGCCAAGAACGGCCUGACGCCGCUGCACCUGUGCGCCCAAGAGGACCGGGUGCCGGUGGCGGCCAUCCUGGUGAAGAACGGCGCCGAGGUGGGCCCGGAGACGGCCGCCGGCUACACGCCGCUCCACGUGGCCUCGCACUUCGGCCAGCUGAACAUGGUCCGCUUCCUGCUGCAGCACCAGGCUGAGGUGAACCCGGUGACGUCGGCCGGCUACACGCCGCUGCACCAGGCCGCCCAGCAAGGACACACACUCAUCAUCAACCUGCUGCUCGAACACAAGGCCCAGCCGAAUGCCGUCACCAACUCGGGCCAGACGGCGCUCUCGAUCGCCCAGCGCCUCGGCUACAUCUCGGUGGUGGAGACGCUGAAGGUGGUGACGGAGACGGUCAUCACCACCACCACCACCACCGUCACUGAGGAGAAGUACAAGGUGGUGGCGCCCGAGACCAUGCAGGAGGCCUUCCUCAGCGACAGCGAGGACGAAGGAGCCGAGGACCAGCCGCUGGGCGACUCAACCUACAAGUACCUGACGGUGGACGAGAUGAAGUCGCUCGGCGACGACUCCAUGCCCAUGGACACAUCCCGCGACGAGACGUUCGACCGCUCGCACGACUUCAACACAGACUGGAUCAACAACGCCCCGGCGAUCGAGGAGAUGAUUUCGCCGCAGAAGCUGAAGGAGUCAUAUGCCCAGUUCACGGGCAGCUUCGCGCCCGACAACGUCGACAUCUCGCGCUCGCCCGUCACGGCCGGCGUUUCCACGCACAGUCUGGACACCACGCUGUCUUGUUGCACCGCCACUAGCUUUGUCGGAAUGUUCCGCAGCAGGUUCCUGGUGAGCUUCAUGGUGGACGCCCGAGGCGGCGCCAUGCGCGGCUGCCGGCACUCGGGCGUGCGCGUCAUCGUGCCGCCCCGCAAGGCGGCCCAGCCCAUGCGCAUCACGUGCCGCUACCUGAAGAAAGACAAGUUGCUGCACCCGCCGCCUUUGAUGGAGGGCGAGGCGAUCGCCAGCCGCAUUCUGGAGAUGGGCCCGGCCCAGGCCAAAUUCCUCGGCCCGGUCAUUAUCGAGGUGCCGCACUUCGCGGCCCUCCGCGGCCGCGAGCGCGAGAUCGUCAUCCUGCGCUCCGACAACGGCGAGACCUGGAAGGAGCACACCCUGGAGGCGUCCGAGGAGGCCGUCCAGGAGGUGCUCAACGAGAGCUUCGACGGCGACGAGCUGAAGCAGCUGGAGGACCUCAACACCAGCCGCAUCACGCGCAUCGUCACCACCGACUUCCCGCAGUACUUCGCCAUCGUCAGCCGGCUUCGCCAGGAGGUGCACGCCAUCGGCACGGAGGGCGGCAUGGUGUCCAGCACGGUGGUGCCCCAGGUGCAGGCCGUCUUCCAGCCGGGCGCGCUCACCAAGAAGAUCAAGGUCGGCCUGCAGGCUCAGCCGAUCCCGCCCGAACUGGUGGCUAAGCUGCUCGGCAACCGAGUGGCCGUGUCCCCGAUCGUCACCAUCGAACCGCGCCGACGCAAGUUCCACAAGCCCAUCACGCUGACCAUCCCCGUGCCCCAAGCGGCCGCCAAGGGCAUGAUCAAUCAGUACAGCGGCGACGCGCCCACCUUGAGACUGUUGUGCUCGAUAACAGGUGGCACCACGCGCGCCCAGUGGGAGGACGUCACGGGCUCGACGCCGCUGACGUUCGUGAACGACUGCGUCUCCUUCACCACCACCGUGUCGGCCCGCUUCUGGCUGAUGGACUGCCGCAACGUGACCGAGGCCACGGCCAUGGCCACCGAGCUCUACAAGGAGGCCAUCCACGUGCCGUUCAUGGCCAAGUUUGUGGUGUUCGCGAAGCGGCACGACCCGCUGGAGGGACGCGUCCGCGUCUUCUGCAUGACGGACGACAAGGAGGAGAAGACGCUGGAGCAGCAGGAGCACUUCCUGGAGGUGGCCAAGAGCCGUGAUGUGGAGGUGCUGGAGGGCAAGCCGCUGUACCUCGAGUUCGCCGGCAACCUGCUGCCGGUCACCAAGUCGGGCGACCAGCUCAACUUCCAGUUCUACUCGUUCCGCGAGAACCGGAUGCCGUUCAACAUGCGUGUCAAGGACCACACGCAGGACCCGAUGGGCCGCGUCGCCUUCAUGCGCGAGAAGAAGCUGAGCCGCCAGGAUGCGCCCCAGGCGCCCAUCUGUAACCUGAACAUCCAGCUGCCGACGGACGUGUGCCCCGACCUGGACGUGUCGGCCGACAGCGAGCUGCUGCGGCAGCGGCUGACGCCGCACGCGGUGCGCCGCAUCGGCCGGCUCGUGACGCCGGAGAUCCACAGGGCUGACAUCCGCAUCACCGACAUCGCUCACAAGCUGGGCAAGGACUGGGUAGCGCUGGCGCCACACCUCGAGGUGCCCCAGUCGGACAUUGAGCUGAUUCAGACCGAGUACCCGGACGACUCGGCCCAGCAGGCCACUGUCAUGCUGCGGCUGUGGAUGAACAGCGCCGGCAACCAGGCCACCGGCAACACGCUGGCGCGAGGCCUGCAGGCCAUUCAGCGCGACGACAUCGUGACGGCCUGCAUCACAGACUCGGUCAUGGUGACGGACGCCAUGGAGGCGGCCAUGGCCAAGGCACGGCUCGACCAGUCAGGUUUCGACAGUCUGCGCGAGGAGCUGGGGCCCUCUCGCGACACCUCGUUCAGACCGGACCUGACGUACGACGACCGGGACAUCAUGAAGGAAGCCGAAAGCAUGGAAGACGUUCGCGUCUCCGAAGUUGAAAAAGUCGAGCCUGCCGCCACGCCGUCGGCCGACGCCGAGGAGCGCAAGUACGCGGCCGAGGAGAAGCCCGAGCCGACACGACGGCCGGUCCGGCCGCUGGCGCCGAUUGCGCCCAAAGACGGCCCGGCCACGGGCCAGGUCACCGUCACUGACCUGGUCAGCCCGGUCGACGACGAGCCGGCCAUCGCGCCCGUCCACCUCAGCUCGGCGGCCGUGGCGCCGGCCGACGAGCCCGAGCCCAAGCGGCGCUCCAUGGUGCUGCGCGAGCUGGGCGCCGCGCUGGCCGAGGUCGAGCGCAGCCAGCCGCCGCUGCCGGCGCACGAGCGGCCGUUCGGAGACGAGCCGGUGGUGGACGAGCCAGUCAUGGUGUCCGAGAAGAAGGGCCUCAAGUCGCCCACCACAGGCGGCCAUGAUCGUGCCGACCUCGGCCGUCCGCACACAAGCGGCUCCCGAUGGCAGUAAAACCACCGUACAGCAACAAACGAGCGAAUCCGUAACCGACGAUGGAAGACUUGUUCAGAAGUCAACGACCAUCACCACCACCACAGUCGGAGGUGACUCUGACUUGGCUCAGCGCCUCGCCUCUGAAGGUA